rnacentral:misc_RNA from 1 species
GAUGAAGAACGUAGCGAAAUGCGAUAACUAAUGUGAAUUGCAGAAUUCAGUGAAUCAUCGCGUCUUUGAACGCACAUUGCGCCCCCUGGUAUUCCGGGGGGCAUGCCUGUCCGAGCGUCAUUGCUGCCCUCAAGCCCGGCUUGUGUGUUGGGCCCCGUCCCCCUCUCCGGGGGACGGGCCCGAAAGGCAGCGGCGGCACCGAGUCCGGUCCUCGAGCGUAUGGGGCUUUGUCACCCGCUCUGUAGGCCCGGCCGGCGCCAGCCGACAACCCAUCAUCCUUUUCAGGUUGACCUCGGAUCAGGUAGGGAUACCCGCUGAACUUAAGCAUAUCAAUAAGCGGAGGA